CUACGGGACGCACCAGUGGGGAAUAUUGCACAAUGGAGGAAACUCUGAUGUAGCAACGCCGCGUGGAGGAUGACACUUUUCGGAGCGUAAACUCCUUUUAUAUAGGAAGAAGAUGACGGUACUAUAUGAAUAAGCGCCGGCUAACUCCGUGCCAGCAGCCGCGGUAAUACGGAGGGCGCAAGCGUUACUCGGAAUCACUGGGCGUAAAGAGCGUGUAGGCGGAUUAAAAAGUCAGAAGUGAAAUCCUAUAGCUUAACUAUAGAACUGCUUCUGAAACUCUUAAUCUAGAAUAUGGGAGAGGUAGAUGGAAUUUCUGGUGUAGGGGUAAAAUCCGUAGAGAUGAGAAGGAAUACCGAUUGCGAAGGCGAUCUACUAGAACAUUAUUGACGCUGAGACGCGAAAGCGUGGGGAGCAAACAGGAUUAGAUACCCGCGUAGUC
rnacentral:rRNA from 1 species